rnacentral:sRNA from 1 species
ACAAAAUAUUAAAAAAAAGAGAGUCUUUGAAUAUGCUGUACUAUUUUAAAUACAUUUGUCUUUUCAAUUCUAUUUAACCUAGGUUAAUAUUAAAAUCAAUUUGUGUGUGUGUGUGUGUGUGUGUGUGUGCGCGCGCUCGCGCGCGCGCGCGCCCACACGCCCGCACACACAUGUGCUGGGGAUUGAA